AGCGAACGCUGGCGGCAGGCCUAACACAUGCAAGUCGAACGAAGUCUUCGGACUUAGUGGCGGACGGGUGAGUAACACGUGGGAACGUACCUUUUGGUUCGGAACAACUCAGGGAAACUUGAGCUGAUACCGGAUGAGCCCUUAGGGGGAAAGAUUUAUCGCCGAAAGAGCGGCCCGCGUUAGAUUAGCUAGUUGGUGAGGUAAAGGCUCACCAAGGCUACGAUCUAUAGCUGGUCUGAGAGGAUGAUCAGCCACAGUGGGACUGAGCAACGGCCCAGACUCCUACGGGGGGCAGCAGUGGGGAAUCUUGCGCAAUGGGCGAAAGCCUGACGCAGCCAUGCCGCGUGAAUGAUGAAGGUCUUAGGAUUGUAAAAUUCUUUUACCAGGGACGAUAAUGACGGUACCUGGAGAAAAAGCCCCGGCUAACUUCGUGCCAGCCGCCGCCGUAAGAC
rnacentral:rRNA from 1 species